AUGAAGAAAUUGAAGUCUACCAAAGGUUCUGAUCACUUCAAUUUGCAUUACUCCAUUUUCCUCUUAGAUAAAAUCACCUGGAGAGAAAGAUGGCAAACCAUACCAUUAUCUGCCAAGAAAAAUCCAAAUGGGCUCACAAAGACUGAACAACAACACAUGCCAGGUUUUUCACAGAGAGAUAAAAUAACAUUUUUGUAUUUGAAUGAAAAUAUUGGAGAGUAAACUCAUCUUUUUGUGGACUUGCUGAAAGUAUUUUCAGUAGAACUAUAGUAGUAGGUAGGUUGAUAGGAAGGUUCUAUGCUUCAUCUUGUUCUCAUGUGAUUUUCAAUUCUUUCUUUAGGUC
rnacentral:lncRNA from 1 species